rnacentral:rRNA from 1 species
UACGGAGGGGGCUAGCGUUGUUCGGAAUUACUGGGCGUAAAGCGCACGUAGGCGGCUUUGUAAGUUAGAGGUGAAAGCCCGGGGCUCAACCCCGGAACUGCCUUUAAGACUGCAUCGCUUGAAUCCAGGAGAGGUGAGUGGAAUUCCGAGUGUAGAGGUGAAAUUCGUAGAUAUUAGGAAGAACACCAGUGGCGAAGGCGGCUCACUGGCCCGGAACUGACGCUGAGGCACGAAAGCGUGGGGAGCAAACAGG